rnacentral:tRNA from 1 species
GCCGACUUAGCUCAAUUGGUAGAGCAACUGAUUUGUAAUCAGUAGGUUGCGGGUUCAAGUCCUGUAGUCGGCACCA